rnacentral:rRNA from 1 species
UACGUAGGUCCCGAGCGUUGUCCGGAUUUAUUGGGCGUAAAGCGAGCGCAGGUGGUUUAUUAAGUCUGGUGUAAAGGCAGUGGCUCAACCAUUGUAUGCAUUGGAAACUGGUAGACUUGAGUGCAGGAGAGGAGAGUGGAAUCCCAUGUGUAGCGGUGAAAUGCGUAGAUAUAUGGAGGAACACCGGUGGCGAAAGCGGCUCUCUGGCCUGUAACUGACACUGAGGCUCGAAAGCGUGGGGAGCAAACAGG